GAUCCAUUCCUCUAUCUUCUCACUCCCUUAAGUAUAACCGUAAUUCUCUCAGCGUCAUCUCCAUAGCUUCGAUCAUUUCACGUUUGCUUCGCCUAUCUUUCAAGUCGGCACCGUCAUCAAAUUAAUUUCAGGGGGUUUGGUUCGCCAUGAGUAGUAGAGCUUCCUCUGUUGUCUUCUGCUCUUCCGCUUCCCUCUCGUUAAGCAGAACACAUUGAUUUUGAGAGGGAUUUGAGGAUUGAUUGAAGUUGGAAAGAUUCUACUAGGUCGAUGAUGACUGGCAGUUCCUUUUAGAGAACAACAGUUUGCAGGUUGAGGAGACAGUAAAAAAAUAUUCUGAUCAAUAUUAUGCAAAACUAGGGCACAUGGAGCAGUAGCUUGAGAAAACUCUAGAUACUCUGAUGUCCAAGUGCAGGUAUUUAUUGAUGAUGC